CAGACUCCUACGGGAGGCAGCAGUGGGGAAUAUUGCACAAUGGGCGCAAGCCUGAUGCAGCCAUGCCGCGUGUGUGAAGAAGGCCUUCGGGUUGUAAAGCACUUUCAGCGGGGAGGAAGGCGGUGAGGUUAAUAACCUCACCGAUUGACGUUACCCGCAGAAGAAGCACCGGCUAACUCCGUGCCAGCAGCCGCGGUAAUACGGAGGGUGCAAGCGUUAAUCGGAAUUACUGGGCGUAAAGCGCACGCAGGCGGUCUGUCAAGUCGGA
rnacentral:rRNA from 1 species